UACGAAGGGGGCUAGCGUUGCUCGGAAUCACUGGGCGUAAAGGGUGCGUAGGCGGGUCUUUAAGUCCGGGGUGAAAUCCUGGAGCUCAACUCCAGAACUGCCUUUGAUACUGAAGAUCUUGAGUUCGGGAGAGGUGAGUGGAACUGCGAGUGUAGAGGUGAAAUUCGUAGAUAUUAGGAAGAACACCAGUGGCGAAGGCGGCUCACUGGCCCGGUACUGACGCUGAGGCGCGAAAGCGUGGGGAGCAAACAGG
rnacentral:rRNA from 1 species